UUAAGACAUCACAUGUGACAUCUUGUGAACACUCUUGGUUUUACCAAAAUUGCUGCCAACACCUAGAACCAACAAGAUUCAAAUCUCCAAGAUUCCUACUUUCUUUUAGAUUGAAUUCCAUUCCAUCAAGUGUCCAAAACAAGGCCAAGUGCAAUUGGAAGCAAGAUCAUGUUCAUCCAGACCUGCAGUGAAGGUGGAUUUCUCAAUUUUUC
rnacentral:lncRNA from 1 species